UGAAGUUUGUGAUAUUUUGAUAAUCAAGAUACCUAUCUACCUAGUCCUUGUUGCGCCCGUGAGCACAUAGGGCAAGGACUAGUUUCGUCCACUCCUCUCUGUCUUUAGCAGUCUUUUCAAUUUCAUCCCAGGUCAUGCCAACCUCUCUCAUUUCUGUUUCAACGGUCCUCCUCCAGGUGGUCUUUGGAUGGCCUUGCUUUUGUGUUUCCUUCUGGAGUCCAUCGAAGUGAGACCCUAGUGAUGUCAUUGAUGGGUUUCCUUAAGACAUGCCCAAUCCAUCUCCAGCGAUAUUUCAUAACUGAAGAAAUUUAACAGAAAUUUAAUGGGCCACCAACAAAGUAAAGAACCACAACGUUUCAGGUUUAGAGUGAAACCCGAUACAAGGCAGGAUAUGUUCAAUGAUUUCUAGCCUUCAGAUUGUGAGCAUUACAAAAUCGGAACUACGUUUUCUACAGAUCAUCACUUUGCCUGAAGCUGCAUUGUUGUAUGUUAGUAUUUGUUUACAUCUCAGUGACAGUGGUCAAUCGAAGGUGAUAUGAAUAAAAGCAAUCACUGCGCAGUGCUGUUUGAUAUUGUGAGACUGGAACAAUCACUGUGCAGUGCUGUUUGAUAUUGUGAGACUGGAACAAUCACUGCGCAGUGAUGUUUUGAUAUUGUGAGACUGGAACAAUCACUGCACAGUGCUGUUUGACAUUGUGAGACUGGAACAAUCACUGCGCAGUGUCGUUUUGAUAUUGUGAGACUGGAAUUAUAGUAGGAGGAAACAGUGGAAAAUGUAGGGCUGGACGUGAAUUGCUUUCAUGAGAAAAUGAUAUCUCAUUCGCUAAAUAAACUUCUAUAUUGAGUUGUUCACAAAGAUGUAGAAAGGAAAAUCAAAGAAAAGAACACAGUGAAUUCAUACCAUGUCAGUCCAGUGUGCACAUUAUUAUCACCUGAAAUUAUCGAACCGGUCGCGGUGGUUCAAUGGUUUGAGUGUUUGCUUAAUGAGGUCGUGGGUUCGAGUCCCGCUUGUACCUAGGCCGCAUCAAACCUAUAGCGUAAAAUCAAGUAGCGAAUGCUCCUUCUCCAAACACUCAGCGUAUAGAAGUGGGGAUCGCAGGUUUUUCAGAUUAUAACUUAAAAAACGAGGCCCAGUGUCACAUCAGGCUUCUUAAAAGUUUAUGUUUUCUAUUUGUUGUAAAGAAAAAUGUGGACCGUACGUAGCUUUAAUAAUUUCAUUAGAAUAAAACUUGUUGUCGUGGUAAUGUUCAUUUGUUGAAUCUUUCUCCACUUUAUACAUAGUAAUAUAAAAAAUAUUUAUUCCUGUACAUGUUGUAUAUGCAGUAUUCUGUAUUUUCCAACCUCCUGUCUGUAAUAUAUAACUGUACAUUUAUGAGAAUAAAGCAUUG